AUGGCUAAUAAAGUUGUGGGACAUAAGCUGGAUAUGACCGCACCCGGCAGGGGUGUGGGGUGCGGCAAGCCGCAAUUUCCUCUAGUAGCUUACUAUAGUAAGGCGUUGGGGGUAACGAAUCAGCAAUUAUCCAUAUACGAGAAAGAAUUUUUGGCCAUAAUGAUGGCAGUAGAAAAAUGGAGAGCAUACUUACAAAGAGGCCCUUUUGUCAUAAAGACGGAUCAUCAGAGUCUAUGUCAGUUAGGCGAUCAAGUGUUAACGUCGGAUCUGCAAAGAAAGGCAAUGACCAAAUUAGUUGGAUUACAGUUCUCUUUUCAGUACAAGAAAGGAAGUGAAAAUACGGUGGCUGAUGCUCUCUCUCGGGUGGGGCAUUUGUUGGCGGUUACUACUACCUCUCAGAGUCAGCCGGUGUAG
rnacentral:rRNA from 1 species